AUUGAACGCUGGCGGCAUGCUUUACAUAUGCAAGUCGAACGGCAGCGCGGGCUUCGGCCUGGCGGCGAGUGGCGAACGGGUGAGUAAUGCAUCGGAACGUGCCCAGUAGUGGGGGAUAGCCCGGCGAAAGCCGGAUUAAUACCGCAUACGACCUGAGGGUGAAAGCGGGGGACCGAAAGGCCUCGCGCUAUUGGAGCGGCCGAUGUCAGAUUAGCUAGUUGGUGGGGUAAAGGCUUACCAAGGCGACGAUCCGUAGCUGGUCUGAGAGGACGACCAGCCACACUGGGACUGAGACACGGCCCAGACUCCUACGGGAGGCAGCAGUGGGGAAUUUUGGACAAUGGGGGCAACCCUGAUCCAGCCAUGCCGCGUGCGGGAAGAAGGCCUUCGGGUUGUAAACCGCUUUUGUUCGGGAAGAAAUCCUCUGGGCUAAUACCCCGGGGGGAUGACGGUACCGGAAGAAUAAGCACCGGCUAACUACGUG
rnacentral:rRNA from 1 species